rnacentral:rRNA from 1 species
AAAAACAGCCAUGCCACCUUGAACACACCCGAUCCUGUCUGAUCUCGGAAGCUAAGCUGGGUCAGGUCUGGUUAGUACUUGGGUGGGAGACCACUUAGGAAGACCAGGUGCUGUAGGCA